CACGGAGUUAGCCGGUGCUUAUUCAUACUGUACCUUCAGCUACUUACACGUAAGUAGGUUUAUCCCAGUAAUAAAAGAAGUUUACAACCCAUAGGGCCUUAGUCCUUCACGCGGGAUGGCUGGAUCAGGCUCUCACCCAUUGUCCAAUAUUCCUCACUGCUGCCUCCCGUAGGAGUCUGGUCCGUGUCUCAGUACCAGUGGUGGGGGAUCACCCUCUCACGGACCCCCUAAAGAUCAUCGUCUUGGUGAGCCGUUACCUCACCAACUAACUAAUCUUGCGCGUGCCCAUCUCUAUCCCACCGGUAGUUUUCAAUAAUAAACGAUGCCGUUCAUUAUAUUAUGGGGUAUUAAUCUUCCUUUCGAAAGGCUACUCCCCCAGAUAAAGGCAGGUUGCACACGUGUUACGCACCCGUACGCCGCUCUCUCUCGUCCCGAAGAACAAACUACCGCGUCGCUGCAUGUGUACGCCUCCGCUACGUCGUUCACUCCUGAGCCGAGGACUACCAAACCU
rnacentral:rRNA from 1 species